ACGCUCGACACCUACGGGAGGAGCAGUGAGGAAUAUUGGUCAAUGGGCGCUAGCCUGAACCAGCCAAGUAGCGUGAAGGAUGAAGGCUCUAUGGGUCGUAAACUUCUUUUAUAUAAGAAUAAAGUGCAGUAUGUAUACUGUUUUGUAUGUAUUAUAUGAAUAAGGAUCGGCUAACUCCGUGCAGCAGCCGCGGUAAUCUGAGCGGGCUGGCAAGGC
rnacentral:rRNA from 1 species